rnacentral:rRNA from 1 species
GGGGAAUAUUGCACAAUGGGCGAAAGCCUGAUGCAGCAACGCCGCGUGAGUGAUGAAGGUCUUCGGAUUGUAAAGCUCUGUCUUUUGGGACGAUAAUGACGGUACCAAAGGAGGAAGCCACGGCUAACUACGUGCCAGCAGCCGCGGUAAUACGUAGGUGGCGAGCGUUGUCCGGAUUUACUGGGCGUAAAGGGUGCGUAGGCGGAUGUUUAAGUGAGAUGUGAAAUACCCGGGCUUAACUUGGGUGCUGCA